rnacentral:rRNA from 1 species
GUGGGGAAUUUUGGACAAUGGGCGCAAGCCUGAUCCAGCAAUGCCGCGUGUGUGAAGAAGGCCUUCGGGUUGUAAAGCACUUUUGGCAGGAAAGAAAUAGUGCGUGCUAAUACCAUGCGCGAAUGACGGUACCUGCAGAAUAAGCACCGGCUAACUACGUGCCAGCAGCCGCGGUAAGACGUAGGGUGCAAGCGUUAAUCGGAAUUACUGGGCGUAAAGCGUGCGCAGGCGGUUUUGUAAGACAGGUGUGAAAUCCCCGGGCUCAACCUGGGAACUGCACUUGUGCCUGCAAGGCUAGAGUGUGUCAGAGGGAGGUGGAAUUCCGCGUGUAGCAGUGAAAUGCGUAGAGAUGCGGAGGAACACCGAUGGCGAAGGCAGCCUCCUGGGAUAACACUGACGCUCAGGCACGAAAGCGUGGGGAGCAAACAGGAUUAGAAACCCGGGUAGUCC